AAUGUAUCAUCUACUGAAACAUGGAGUAUGUGUUUACCUUUAUACUCAUCCCCUCAUCUGCUAUACUAUGAAGAGCCAUGGCAACAAAAUGGCUCCCUUCCGUUUGUUAGAGCUGUUUCCUGUGUGCAGUAGAAUUUCAGGUUAUUUCAUUCUGUUAUUGUUGUGUUUGUGUGA